rnacentral:lncRNA from 1 species
AGCAGCUGCCAGCCACGGCUCCGCCGGCCCCGCACCCGGGCGCGGCCAGGCCGUGAGGGGUGCGCUCUGCCUCUCUGAGCCCAGCCUGCCGGCCGGCCCGCUCACCUUGUGGCUCUGGUUGUGCUUUUGGUGUUAUAAAUGAAGUUCAUCAUUAAACCCAAGAACACAGGUAUUUUCUCCAGAGGGCCAUAGUCUUCAUAUACUUCAGCACUCCAUGAAGGCUUUCUUGGUACUGUUCAAAGGCCAGAGGAUCUACUACCACAGAACCAUUCUAGAUGUGAGUUCCUAGUGUGAAAGGACUGGGAGUUAACAGAAGAGCCACAGUGAGGUAGAGUUUGCUGUGUUUAUAUUUGCAUCGAAGUUAUUUUAAAAUAUUAUUUUCUCUCUCCUGCACACAAUAUUUUUGAUUCUAUAGCAUACAUAGAAUUUAUAUGUUUGAUUCUAUAGCAUAAGUUCAUUUCUCCUCAAUCAGCCCUUUUGGCCAUUUUGUUAAAGAUCAGAGGUGUAGCCACAUUAAGGAAAAGCAUUCGAAUCUGGGUUAGCCCUAUCCAUGGUGGCAGUUAUUACCUGAGUGCCAGUGCCAGGAUUGGAUAGAGGGGGUAUACAGCAGCCUGUCCUGAAUGGUGUCUGAACAGGACCAUUUCUGGUUCAAUGUAGCCCUCCUUGGUUUUAACCUGUAUCACAUGAGCUUGCCUAAAAGGAACAAUAUCCCUUAAUAUUGAAAAUUCGCUAACACGGCAAUUCUUAAAUUAUCAUGCGCACAACCCUGGAAGUCCUGAUAUCUUUUCAGGGUGUCUGCAAAGCCGGCAUGAUUUCGUAAUAAUCCUCACAUGAUUUGGCUUUUUCACUUUGUUGAUAUUUAGAUUGAUGGUACAAAAGCUAUUGGUGGUGCCUUAGUUACACCAAACUGUACUAGAAGUCAUUUUAUGCUUCACCCUUACAUACUCAUAAUUUUUUAAAAAAUUCCAGAUGCAAUUAAAAAUACUCUUGGUGAAGCAGUAAAAAUUAAAUAUAGACCCUUGAAUAUAUGCCUUUUAAGUUGGGUGAUGAAAUGUGAAGUUUAUAUAAAGCACUUUACUGCAUGCCAAAUUAUCAGGCUUUUCCUGAAGAAAAAUAUUUGUGUAAUUGUUUGAGUUGCAAACUGAACUGGUUGCUUUUUCAUCGAACAUCAUUUUUACUUGAAAAAGAAAAAGACUUAUGGAAAAACUGUGGUUAUUCUGACCUGAGUAUUUGGCAGAAAAAAAAUUCUUGAAAAUGAAUAAAAUGAGCCUGUCACUUCAAGGAAAACAACUGAUAGUCUUUGUUGCCAGUGAUGAAGUUUGAGCUUUCAAGUGAAAUUAAAGUUUCAGAAAACUUGUAUCUACUACCAUGAGGUUGAUGGUUUCUUAAUAUUUAGAGGUUUUAUUAUGAAAUUAGGAAUAUUAACUAAUGCAUUUUAAAAAAUUAUUGUAUGAUGAAAUGUGUCAAUAUUUGGAACAUUUGCAUAACUCAGUGAAUCAAUGUUGUCCAAAUAGCAAUGCUUGGGGGUUACAAAAUUACGCGUGGGUAAAAACUCUAUUCAAAGUUCAAGAUAGACCAAUAGAUUUUAAUUUAGGAGAGCCGAAAAAGUUUAUUGGUAUAGUUUCAGAGUCUACAUUGUAUCUUUUAAAAAACAUCUUGUUGAAUCUUGGUGUAGUAUCACAGGAGAAUAUCCACAACUAUGUUCCUUCCUUUUUCAGCCAUAUCUUUGUGAAGCUGCCUUUUCUUCAUAUACUUCAACCAAAAUUUCAUAUUGCAGCAGGUUGAAUGCUGAAGUACAUAUCAGAAUCCAGCAUUCUUCUAUUAAGCCAGACACUGAAGAGAUUUGCAAAAAUAUAAAACAAUGCAAUUCUUCUCAUUAACAUUAUGUUUUGGAAAUAUAAUUAUUUUUCAUAAAAAUAUGUUAAUUAUGUUAAUAUACAGUGGGUUUAUUACUGUAAUUUUAUAAUUAAUAAGUAGAUAUUUAAUUUUUUCCAUUUUUAAAUACAGAAAGUUUCAAUAGAUAUAAUCCACAAACAAAAACCCUUUGGGGUCCUCAAUAAUGUUGAGUGUGAGUGGUGUAUGAUUCCAAAAACUUUAAGAACUGUUAUCCUAAUAAAUUAUUCUUGGAUAAUUUUGCAUGUGAAUAUCAUGAGGCUCUCCCAAGCAAGGUAAUGUAUUCAGCAAUAGAUUAGGAUGACCUCCUGAUCUGAAUGUAAAAUUGGGUAUUAUGGUCAAUAACAGUCACACAAAUAAUUAAUUAAGAGAUGUCAAAAAGAAAAACACAGCUUUCAAAAGCCUCUUGAGUAUUUCGCUCAUGUGUGCCUGACUGUUGGACGUGGUUACUGAGGUGCGCUGGUGAGUGCAGCUCUUGGUCUCCUAGGGGAGCUGUUUGCUUUGCCUUGUCACACACAUGCUCUUUUGAUCUCAGAUACUAGUCUCUGUCUGGCUUCCUUGUGGUUAAUACAUCUGACAUAUGGCUUGUUUCUUUGUCUACCUUUUAUUGUGUUAUUUCAUCAGGCUACUUUGAAAUCAGUAUAAGCAAUAAUCGGCAGACUACAAUUCGGUUUUAAGUGCAUUUUCUUAUCAAGAUACAUAGAGUUAUAUGGCAUUCUUAUGAUCCAGUGCUUCAACUGAUGGCAUAUAAUGUGGCGUUAAAUAAAUCUAUACAGCCUGACAUAGUUAAGUGUACUAUUAGCUGACAUUGAACAUAAAAACAGAAGAGUGAAAAAGGUGUAUGAGGUCUUCUUAGAUAACUAAGCAGCCGAAUGAAAAUACAGAAAGAUAUUUCACUGCUGCUAUUCUAAUGUCGCUACUUCACUUUUUCUAAGCUUUGGAUUUCUCUCCUCAUUUCCUCUUUCCAUAGGAUUCUGUUCUCAGCUAGUGUUUGAUACCACCUAAGGGUUCUGUCAGUUUAGUGCUCACACAGUUUAUCAUGCAUCUUCACCACUUAUUAGCUAUGCGACCUUGAUCAGGUGAAUUCUGCUGUUUGUGCUACUACUGUAUUUCCCUCUCUGUAAAGUGGGGGAUAAUAAUAAGUGUAUCUACAACACUGAAUGAAGAAUAAGUGAAACCAUCCAUGUACUGGGCUCAGCAUCUUGACUACCACCCCCAGUGGAUCCUCCCUGGGCAUCAGCUAUUAUUCUUCUCUGCUUUUAUUCAUUGGCACUUUCAUCUGAUUUGCACAAAGAACUAUAUUAAUUAAUUAAACAAAUACAUAUUUAAUGGCUAUUGCAUACCAGGCAUUGUGCUAGGAUGAGGGAUACAACGAUGAAUAAAAACAGUGCCCAUGAGAGCAGAGGGCAUGUCCACAUAGUAUUUAAUACAUUAUGCUAUUUCUGGCCUCUAUCACAGUGUCUGACAGAGAGUGGGUGUUUCAUCCAAAUAAGCAAAUAAUCAACCCUAUGAGGUAAAUGAAAUUAUUAUUCCCAUUUUACAGAUGAAGAAACUGAGACUUAGAAAGGAAGAGUAAUCCAUCCAGUGACACCCAGGUAGCUAGUCACAAAAUCCCUCCCUAGGGAUGGAGGAAGAAAAUGCUAACACUGCCAAUUCAUGCUGCUUGAGAAGGGUUAAUCUGGCUUCCCAAUUUCUAAUUUCCAAAGCACAUCAUGGACCUGCAGAUAAACUAAAUGCUCAACAACACUGUCCAUAAGUACUCAUUGAUGUUCACCUUGUGUACAAGACACGGUGCUAAUCUUUGGGAUACUGCAGUUAACCUGAGAGACAUUAGAGGAGCUUACAUUCCGUUCGGGGAGACAGCUAUAAACAACUGGUUAUGUGUGUGGUUGCCUUGUGAUAAACACUAUGUAGACACAUAUACGAGAGGUUCUGACUUAGGCUGCUAUUAUGAUGAUCAGAAAGGCUUCCCUGAGGAAAGAAUUUAUAAACUAAGCUCUGAAGGGUGAAUAGGAAAGAAGUAACUAGAAAAGAAAUGGAGGAAAGCAUUUCUAGCAGAAUACCAUGUUCAAGAACUUGGAACAUUAGCAUACCGGAGGAAGGCUAGUGUGCUAGUGUGCUAAUGUGCUAUACCCUGAGACUGAGUGGGGCAGGGAGAUGACAUGGAGCUAUGGAAACAGGUUAGGGACAAAUUGCCCAGGGCUUCAGACCCAUGCUAAGCAUUUUGAUUUUGUUUUGUUUUGUUUUUGAGGUGGAGUCUCUCUCUGUCGCCAGGCUGGAGUGCAAUGGCACAAUUUCGGCUCCCUGCAACCUUCACCUCCCAGGUUCAAGCAAUUCUCUGCCUCAGCCUCCCGAGUAGCUGGGACUACAGGCGCAGGCCACCACGCCCAGCUAAUUUUUUUGUAUUUUUAGUAGAGAUGAGGUUUCACCAUGUUGGCCAGGAUGGUCUUGAUCUCCUGACCUCGUGAUCUGCCUGCCUUGGCCUUCCAAAGUGCUGGGAUUUCAGGUGUGCAUUUUGGUUUUAUCCUAAGUACUCUUCAGUGAGUUUUCAAGAAGAGAGUGAUGUGACAAGAUAUGCAAUUUAGAAACAUCACAGUAUGAAUGGAGACCAGGGGCACUCUGUUGCAAUAGCAAUGUGAAAGAAGAUGGCAGUGUGGACCAGGAUGGUAGCACUGGAGAAGAGUAAGUGGGCAGGCUUGAGAGAUACUCAAGAUGUUGAGUUCAUAGACUUGUGACUUAGAUCAGGGAGAUGAGUAGGAGGCCGACCUGAGUUUUAUGGGGUCUGAAGCUCAUGGAACUGGAGAGCUCUUUCAGAAAUGGAUACUGGAUAUGGGAAGGUCCCAGGAUGACUGUCCAGGUCCUAGGCAUUUUAUACAGGCACAAUGAGGUAUGUACAGAGAAGAGGAGGUAUCUCUUCUCUGCACCUCUUUUUAUUAAGAAGCCACACUUUUCUCAGAAUCCUCCCCAGCAUUCCUUUCAUGCGUAGGAAAUUGGGUAGAAAAUUAGAUAAUUCCUUCCAGUUCUGAGACUCAGUGAUUGUGGUGGGAACAAAACAUUUUAGGAAGCACAAUUCUCAUCAGCAAGCUGAGAAGACAAUCCACAUCUGUACUCUAGUGACAAGAUAUAAUUAUUGUUCAAUAAGAUACUUUUGAUAUAAUUAUGCUGGGACAACAGGGAUAAACGAAAGCUGUCCUUGACAAAUUGGAACAAUGACCACUCUAUCUCUUAUGGACAUACGUGACUGGGUGAGUUCCCUCUCUUCUUCCCACCUCUGAGCUGUCUUCCCUGCCCUUGUAUCCCUGCUGCUGGGCUAUGACUCAUCUUCCUCACUGACCACAGUUGGCACCUCUUUUCCGUCAGCUGACUGGCACUGCAGCAUUUUCCACUGGGGCAAGGAGAAGGCAUGAGCUGUAAGCUCUCAGAAAUAAUCAGGAGCAUGGGGAUUGUUAGCCUUGCUUCUGAUGGAACCCAGACUCAGGCUGGGAAAUUAUUGACAGGAUGUAGUUGGCUAGGAGAUAGUGUCUUUCCAAGUGAGCCGAGAGAACACUGGUCCCUGAAUAUGCUCCAGGAGAAAGGGAUUCUGUCUGGACAAAUGCUGAAAAAUGCACCCCUAAAGAGUCUUAGUACACGCUAGUAUAUAUAAAAGGCUAUUGAGAAGUCCUACAGUGAAAAAAUGCAAAAAACUCAGGUUUUGUCCACAACUGUGCAAGACUUGGGCAUCCUUUUUAAACAUACACACCCCACACCACUGAUAAAUAUCCCAAAGAAUAGACUUGGAGAAACUUUUUAAAAAGAAGACACAUUAACAUCAAGCCAGGAAGGCCAAGAAAUGGGGAGACAAAUAGAAUGGCCCAACAUACUAGAAUACUCCUAGAGUCAAUGUGCUGGUUAUUAACAUAUCUUAGCAUCCCUGGGGAUGAGCCACACAUGAGUUCAUGGGAUUGAUUCUUCAUCCAAAUGUUGCUUGAGUUAUUGGAUUGGUCUGUUGCCUCCUAAGAACGUUGGUUCCUUUCAAAAUAGGUCAAGGAGUGAUGAUUGACAAGGACAACUUCUCUCACCCUUAAAUUUGUUGGGGUUUCCAAAAUUUGAAGAAGCGGUAUAAACUCUCUAGGUGUUCCUGGAAGCAUGAGAUUGCUUAUUAAGGCAUCAGUUUGCAAAAUUUGGAAGUAAAGCUAAAAAGUGAAACAGAGUGAAGGAGCAAAAAGAUAGGGUUGGAUAAACCAGUUUUAAAAUUGCGGCUUAACUGUACAACCUUUGGCAAAUGAUUUAACCUUUCUGAAUCUCAGUUUCCAUAUAUGUAAAAAUACUUCACUUGUAGGAUAAUGCAAGCAUUAGAAAUAACAUGUCUUAUUCAUGAAUUAUCAUUGUGAAAAUAUAGAAAGUGUAUGCUUAAUGCAAAGAAAAUGUUCAGUUAACAAAAGCUUUCCUAUUAUUUCAAAUAACAGAAAAGAAUCUGCAGUAGAUUCCUAUGGUUCAGGAAGGCAUACUCUGUUCAUGGAGCAGAAGGAGCAGAGUGGAUGAUUCAAACUGUCAUGUAUAUUAAUGCUAUUGCCUUGCAAAUUACAAGGCAGUUAGGAAAACAUUUAUCUUCCUUCUCAUGAGGUUAAAAUUGUUUUUAAGAAUAAAUAUUUAUUCCGUGCUAUAAAUAUCUUCUAAAGUGUCAUGUCACCUUUUUUGUCUUGCUAAUAUAAGGCAUAGCUUGGAUGCUGGAAUUACUGCCAGGUUAAAAUCUCAGCUCUACUCCUUGCUAUCUGCAUGACCUUAAGCAAGUAAACAAAACAUGUUACCCCUCAGUGUCUCACUUUCCCAUCCUCAAAAUAAGGACAAUAAUAUUAUUUAUCUCAGAUUCGUUUUUACGAUUCUUGUGAGAAUUUAAUUAAACAAUGCACUGUGCUGUGAAUAUAGUUAAGAAAGAAUCUGUUUUGUAUUGUUAUUAUUGGCAUCUCAAUGCUUUAGAAAUUUUUUUUUGUUUGAAAAUUGUUACUCCAAUUUCUUUCUGGAUGCUAGGAGAAAUCCUUACCAAUUGGAUGUGAGACAAAAUUAAACAAUGAUUUUCUUUAUUCAAUAUCUUCUUUUCCCUCACUUGUUGCCUCUGGCUUUCCUUAGUCCUGGGGAACUGCCUUUUGAGCCUCAACUGUCACUUCAAGGAUUCCUCGUUGCAGUUCAGUCUACACUGGUGAUGAUUAACCCAUUUCCAAUGUGGCAUUAGGAAAGGAAGGUUCACAUUGGAAUGACAAUUCACGAGGCCACAUAAUCUUAGCCAGAGAUAUUUAACAGUAUUUUCAUCUUCUUCAUCGACUCUUACAUUUUCUCCUUUAUUGGAUUUGCAGAUAAGAGCUACAAAUUCAAAUCUGUUUGGUUCUAAAGUCCGUUUUGUUUUCAUGACACCACAAUAAAAACAACAAUCUCACAAAUAAUGAAAACUAACAUUUGCUGAAUAUUUACUUUCUACAGAAACCAUACUUUGCCAGGCAUGGUGGCUCACGCCUAUAAUUCCAGCACUUUGUGAGGCCGAGGCGAGCAGAUCACUUGAGGCCAGGAGUUUGAGACCAGCCUGGCCAACAUGGCAAAACCCUGUCUCAACUGAAAAUACAAAAAUUAGCUGGGCAUGGAGGUGGGCACCUGUAAUCCCAGCUACUCAGGAGACUGAGACAGGAGAAUCAGUUGAACCCAGGAAACAGAGGUUGCAGUGAGCCGAGAUCAUACCACUGCACUCCAGCCUGGGCAACAGAGCAAAACUCCAUCUCAAAAACAAAAACAAAAACAAAACAAAACAAAACAAAAACAACUAAAUUACUUCUCUGCAUUAUCUUAUUUAAUCCUAACAGCAAAUGCAUAAGAGGUAGACUUCAUUGUUGUAUAUGAGUAAAUAAGGCCCAGAAAGGUGAGGUAACCCGCUCAAUGGCACAUAGUUAGAAGGUGGUAGAGCCUGGAUUCAGAUUCAUUUGUGGCUGACUCAAGAGUGCACACCUCUAGCCUUUAAGUUGUUAAUAUAUUUUCAGACAUUUUUGGCCCUUUAAUGAUUAGAAUAGUAUCAUUUACAGCAACUGAUUGAGAAAAGCUAAGGCUUGUGGCUUUUUGGUUUCUGUAAGUAAAAAUAACAACAGCAGGUUCACGGCCAUUCAUUCAUGUCCCAAAAGCUUAUUAAGUGCUAGUAAAGAAUGACCAGAGCCAAGGGCCUAGAUGCUCAGAUAAACAAGAUGGGUUUGAUCCACCUCUGAGACACCUGAUGGGAUGGAUAGGACCUCAUAAGUGGGCUUUCUUCCUUCUAAUUCUCUCUGGCAAGAGAAUUUGAAACAGCCCAUAAAUUUCUUUAUUAUUACAAAUCUCUCUUAACAUUUUGGGCUCAAAAUUUAUACUAUUCAGUAAGCAUUUUCUUAUCCAAAACAGACUGGCAUUAGGCACCCUACCAUGGAACACUCAAAUGAUACUCUUUUCUAUGAAUGUGACUAUGAACUGGAAAUUAUGCAUGAUAUGUGGGGAGCACUGGACCCUCCCCAAGAAUGAGUUUUGAGCUGAGCCCUGGUGGUGCCUGGAAUAGGAGAAGUGAUGAUGCAAGAAGUGUUGUAAAAUAUGUAAGACAGAACUAAGGCCAAAGGGUACUCUCCUCUCACUGAGACAUCAUCGAGGUUUAUAAAUCACCUGUCACUGGGGCCACUAGGGACAGGGAUACAGGAAAUGAAGGGAUCAAUCAUGACAACCCUGCAGGAAGAAAUUCGAGGAUGUUUUCCUCUAUCCUCUUCUAAGAACAAGAAUUCCUUUCAAGAUUGGGGGUCCCUGUUCAGAUACAUAUUUAAUGAAGAUACUCUCAAUAUGGGGGUGUAUAGAGAUGGGGUGCAUAUGGAUGUGGAGGAGAGAGAAAGUGCUUUAUGGCAUUCCAGCCAAAUUGACUGAAAGUGGCACACAUGGUAGAGAGAACCGGUAUAGAAACCAGGAAAGUGGUCUCUGCCUCCCUGGCACAUGCCAUGAGAAUGAUGGGCGCAUAAUGACUUCAGUCACCUCCUUUUACUGGUACAUUAAUGAUAGAGUAAUGCUUAUAAAAUAUGUACAUAUAGCAACAACAUACAGGCUUAGUUAGACUGUUCUCUCUCAGGAUGGCUCUGCUUCGUGCUAUGAGUUGGCUGGGCUUGGUUCCAGAAUGUGGUUUUGAUUUACAUCUGGUUCAUAUACAUCUGUUCUGGAAACCAGGCUUAAGGGGCAGUAGCUCCUGGGGCACACUCUCCUCACAGCGCUGGGUCACUGAAAAGCAAGGGCCAAGCCAAACUGUGCAAGCACAUUUGAGGCCUCUGCUUGCAUCACAUUCAUUAAUAUUCCAUUGGCCAAAGUAGAUUGCAUGGUCAACAUCAGUGGUCCAAGAAAGUAUACUCUGUCCACAGGGGCAGAGGGAACAGAGUGGAUAAUUCAAACAAUCAUUUAUAUGAAUGUUAUAGCUUUGCAAAUUACAAGGCAGUUGGAAGGCAUUUCUCUUCCUCCUCAUGAGUUUAAACUUGUAUUUAAGAAUUAAUCUGUAUCCUUUGUACACGUGCAUGUAUUUGUGUUUGUACUCACAGCAUGUACAUGGUUAAUCCAAUAGUUACCAGAUGGACAUUCAAAAGAAAGUAGAGACCAUCUAUGGAAAUUGUUUUAUGUACAACACAAACACACACAAACUAUUUCUGUAUAUAUAUAUACAUAUAUAUACACACACACAUAUGAAAUUCAGCCUUUAAAAGGAGCUCUUGCCACUUGCAAUAAAUGAAUGAACCUAGAGUAUAUUAUGCUAAGAGAAAUAAGCCAGACACAGAAAGAAAAAUGCUGCAUAAUGUCACUUAUAUGUGGAAUUUUUAAAAAGUCAAAUAGAUGGAAAUGUAGAGUAGAAUGGUUUUUGCAGUGGGGUGGGAGAGGUGGGGGGAAAUGGGGAGAUAUAGGUCAAAUAGUAUAAUGUUGUAGUUAUGUAGGAUAAAAGUCUAGAGAUGUGAUGUACAGCAUGAGGACUAUAGUUAAUAAAAAUGUAUUACAUACUGGAAAUUUGCUUAAAGAGUUUUCUUAGCAUUUAGGUGCUUUUACCACAAAAGAAAAAAGGUAACUGAGAGAAUGGAUAUGUUAAUUUGCUUGACUGUAAUCAUCUUUUCACUAUGUAUUUAUAUAUCACAAUAUCACAUUGUACACCUUAAAUAUGUACAAUCAAUCAAUUAAUCGAUUAAUCAAUGAAAUGAAAAUAGAGAUAUAUCUUCAACUAAUCCUGAUGGAAAGAAGUCCUUCUGGAAUUUCUGAAAGAUCAUUCUAGUUUUACUGAAUGAUUAUGACUUAGGAGAAAUGAAUGGAUUCUGGGGAAAAACCAGUUCCCAAGGGGAGAAAGGUCAGAUUCUGAGAUGGUGGGUCGAAAUUCCAGGAAUGGAAGUUUGAAGCAAGAGAGAGAAGUGGGCCUGAAGUUCAGAAAUCAAAGUUGGGAAUUGGGGCCUGGCACAGUAGCUGAUGCCUGUAAUCCCAGCACUUUGGGAGGCUGGGGCAGGUGGAUCACCUGAGCCCAAAAGUUUGAGACCAGCCUGGGCAACAUGACGAAACCUGUCCCUACAAAAAACACAAAAAUUAGCUGGGUGUGGCGGUGCACACCUGUAGUCCCAGCUACAAGGGAGGCUGAGGUGGGAAGAUCGUUUGAGCCUGGGAUGUGGAGGCUGCAGUGAGCCAUGAUCAUGCCAUUGCACUGUAGUCCGGGCAAAAGAGUGAGACUCUAGCAAAAGAAAAAAAAAAAGUUGGAACUUUGAGGGUUCUAAUGAGAGAACCUCUGGGAAGGAUUUCACACUUAGCUGCUUUACUCUAGCCUGUAAACUAAGUCCUAUUUGGUGAAAUGUUGGGAAUCAUUUCUCUUACAUGUAGUAAGUCUGUUUAGUUUAGUUUAGAUAGUUUGUUCAUUUCUCAACAUUUCAGUUAAGGCUCAGUCAUACAGCUUUGCAUGUUGUCAAGAAAGUGAAGGAUGGGCUAGAGAGGAAAAUAAAACAUACCUUGUUCAGGUAGAUUCUUAAAUUGACUCCAAGAAAGCCCAAUUUCCUAAAAAGGAAUUAACUCCUUAAUGUAAACUGUCAGCUUUUCUUUUGUAUAGUCCAUUUGGGAAACACAAUAAAAGAGGGAGAUCUUGUUUGUGGUGGAAACAUGAGCUUUUUUUCUUUUGACUUAGUGAGAAACAAUUUAUUUUUCUGAUUUAUAAGCAUAUUUUACAUAUUCUGGUCAAUACAUCAAAUGUAUAAUGUGGAAGUUCCCUUAAGAAUACCAAGACCACACAUGUUAAACUCAGCUACAUGUUGUAUUAGGCUAUUAGACAAAUGUCACUUUUAAUAUCACAACACAUACAUGUACUUUUUUUCAUUGACAGAGGAACAUGCCUUUCAAAAAUAUUUUAUUGGGUGAAACUUUCUUAUUCUCAGGAAAACUUUUGGUUCUUUAAUAUAAUUUAUUAUGCUCUUUAAAAUUCUGUUUGAUAAAAGCAUUGGUAUAUUAUAAAUACCUGUAAAGAAAAUAUAGUUUAAAAUUUCAAGGGAAAUAGUAUAUAAGUUUUCUCUUUGACAUUUUCACAAAAAUCCACACAGGCACUAAGAAAGACUGACAAAACUGUUUUAUAUCUGAAUAUUAUACUCCAGGUUGGAAACAUUCAAUAUGAUUUUAUUUAAAUAUUAAAGCUUCUUGAGAGUGAACCUUUGGCUACAACCCAAUGAGUUGGCUGGGGUUUUAACCCAGAAAAUAUUUUGUUAGGAAGAAUCAAAAGAAAGAUUUAUACAUCUAGCACUAGAUUGGGAAUGGAAAAGUAAUGAGUUUUCAUUCUAACUCUUUAUUGGCCUUUCCGGGCCAAUCUAAGAAUUCUCUGGUCCUUUUUAGUUUUAAUACUUUUUGAUAUGCUCCAAUAUUGGAAAUUCUAUCUAACACUUCAUAUCAAACAAUAUAUGAAACUUCCAAGGACAGAGUGAUUCCGCAAGUCUUUUAGGAGAACAUUCUCUAAGCAUUACGGGCAUUGCUCUGCAAACACCCUCUACACAAAUUCAAAUGGUAGAAGAGCAGGUGAAAAUUUGUGUUACCAACCAUACUUCAAGCCAAAGCAAAUGACAGACUCUAGUGUUCUUUUCAUGAACCAGUUCAAUGCCAUGAAUUACCUUAUGAAGUUCAAACUUCAUGGAAAAAUUGCAAACAGCAAACUCAGUGGGAGAAAGCCAGCAUUGUAGGUGACUGGAGACUUUGUAAGCAUAUUGAGAGAAGGAAGCCAGAAGGUUAGUAAUAAAUGAAUUAGUAUUAGUGAUCAUCCAGGUGAGGUGAGAUUACAUAAGCAAACUCAUAAUUAUUAUUGUACAGAUCCUGCCUAACAGAAGAUGCGGGUAGUUUGUUUUUCCUAAUGCAUUUACACUUUGUACACAUUCGCUUAGUGUAGGAGUGGGCAAAAUCAAAUGCCUAUUGGAUACUGCCCAGCAAGGAAUCAAGUGCCUGCUCUAGGUAACAUGGAGCAGGGUGCCAUGGGGACUGAGAGUCAUCUAAUCAGGCAGCUGCUACUCAGCUCCAGCUAACUGUUGCCAUGAGCAAAGAUGGGUCCGAGAAUGAGGUUUUAUGUGAAACAUCAUAUUUUCAAUAACCACUCAUAUUUUAAAAACAUUCUGCAUACCAAACAAAAUCUACCUGAGGGACAAUUAAGGUCCAUGGCCUGCCAGUUUCUGCUUCUGAUUUGAAGCUUAGGAGCAAUUUGGUGAGAAUUUGGACACUAUCAGUGAUAGGAUUGGAGAAGAACUUUUAGUAUCAAGGAAUAAACAUUCAGUUUCAAAUACUUAGAACACGCUGUUCUAAUGAACACAGUUGGAAAAAAACAAAAACAAAACUUCUCUUGGUUUCUCCCUAUUAUGAGUAUUUUUCUAUUAUUACAUUAGGUCUCCAUGUGAUAAGUGGUUUCCUGUUACUGCUGAAAAAAAUUGUGACUAGGAAUUUGCCAAGUCCCAAGUGUAAGUUUUUUUUUUUCUGGGAAAGUGGUAUAUAUCAUUUCUCCCAACAUUUAUUUUGUGGCUGAGAAAGGAGACAGGUAUAGAAAACUUUCAGAAGGAGAAACAGAGGAAAGACCAGGCAUGCAGCACGAGUCAUAACCACCUCUGGAUCCACGGACGCCUCUGGCACCACAGACACAGUGCACCAGGCAAAGAAUGUUCGAAAAUUGCUCAAACCAGAGCAUUCAGAUUUCAAGAUCUGUUUCUAGAUCUAAAUAAUCCAGCUUUUGACCAACAUGACCAGAUUUUGACUACAGGAAUGAGUGGCACUUUGGAAUAGAAAGAUCUAGGGAAUGAGUCUUACAGUGAACUCCUUCAUUAGGCCUACCAAAUACUUUCUUGGCAUCAAAAUUUGAAGAACCACAUGGACAAGACAGGGAACAAGCUACAGAAACAGUUUCUGACUCCUUCUCAUUCUUUGCAGAUUAUGUUUUCAAAUUAAUUGAUAUCCCAGGUUUUGCCUUUUCUUUUGAGAAUUGAAAUGGGCUCUAAUGCAGUGUUCUAAUGUAGUGUAAGAGCUUUUUGUCAACUGUGACUCCAGAAAGAACAAAACACUUCACUUGUGCAGACAGGAAAGAUGUGUUUUGAAAUACCUAUGAUCAAUUCUGGAAGUUGAACUUCCUGCUUGAGCUCAUCCCCUUCACAUGUACAGUUUAGGGAGAAAAAGAAAAGGUGCCACAAAGGAUAUUAUAAGCAUAAGAAUUCAUGACAAAACAACCACUUCAGACACAGGCAAAAUCGCAGGGUAAGGAAGAAGCAUGAAUAUUUCCAACUUGGGACCACACACUUAUUUUAAUUUUCCUCAUUCAGAAUGUCCACCAGAGCUUGAAGCAGCCGGUCGUCUCUGUGCUUGUAAGGUUUAGUGUUAUAAAAAACAUCAACAUAGUCAUUAUACAGACUGUCUUCAGAGUCUUUAAGCUGGGAAGGUUUGUUCAGCUUUUCCAGGGCUUCGUAGAAGUUUUCAUAAGGGAUGUUGAGCUUUGCACUUGGGGACUUCUUUGGUGAUUGCUUUGGCGGUGAGUUUUUACUGAAAGCACUUUGCAGGAGUCGCAGCAUGGCCUGGGAAGGGGCUCCCUCCUCCAACUCAUCCCUCCGGCCCCCUACGCUGCUGCUGCUGGGGCUUUUGGACACCAGGGUGUUCUCCUUAGGGUUCUCUUGUGUGGGCUGCUCCUAAAACAUAGAAUGCCAUCCACAAAGGGAAGAAGGUUCAUUAUUUAUGGCCAGGCAAGCUAGUUGCAACCCUACCACAGGAACGCUGCCUGCCGCUUGAGAGGCAAUGAGGGGAGGGGAGAGAGUUCAAGACUGGGAGCCACAUGGACUUGGGCUUCAACCCUCAUUUGCCUACCCUCUGGGGUACCUUUAACAACCUUUUUAAUCUCCCUCAACUUCACCUGUCAGGUGGAAUAAGAGUACCUCCAUUUGUGGUGGUUUUGAAGACUAGAUGAGACUGUAUAGGGCCAGAGCGAAGAUGCCAGCAGCCAGAGGUGCAGAGGCCGAGGUGCCUGUGUGCGUCUCCGUGCAGUCAUUGUGCAGGUCAGCGCUCGUCUGGAUGACGUCAGGAAGGAGAGAAAGGCAGGGAGAACACGUGAGGAGUGUGGGCCUGUCUUGGGGGUUAACUGUACCAAAGGCUGCAUCUGCUAUGACCAGGAAACUCAGCUGAUUCGAUUGCCUACUUUCUCCUCUAAACCACAGGCGGAUGUUUGCCAUCUGCUGAUAUUUUAGUUCACCCUCUAUAUGCAACUUCUCUAUAAUUCUGGCAGCAAGAUGCCUUUUCUGGGGAUGAAGUACUCCCACUACGAAUAUUUUCUUUUCUGAGAUUCCCAAACGAAAUGCUGUCUAUAAAAAACAAAGUUUCAAAAUCACUGUGAAUCAUGCUGGCCCAUUAAUCAUCGGGUCCAUUGUGUUUGGUCUGGCAUAUUUAGAAAUUCUGUCUCAUACAAAAUUCCCUUUUGCCUUCAGAUUGACAUUUGGCUGCCUCUUCAGCCCAAGGAUAUGAAGACAUCCUGGCCUUAGCCAUUUGAACUACUUGCACAAAAAAUGCUUAAUAUGUAGUUUGCACUCACUGUUGAACUAGAUUUGAUACCUGUGAGUUGGUGUCCACAUUUACACUUUGAGGAAAACGAUGGGUCUUUAAAAUGGAAAGUGUGCUGGACUUAGUUCUGGGUUCAAAUUCUCUAACUGCUACUUAAUAGAUUUGUCCUCGGGCAAGUCAUUUGGCUCCCCAUCUGUAAAAUGCGAUUUAUAUUUUCUGACUCAUAUGCGAGACUUACCCGAGAUGUUCUCUGUGAAAGUAGUUUUACAUAAUUUUCUUGCAAGUAAGGAAUUACCCUGGCUAACUUUAGGGUAAUGAAGAGAUUGCUGAGAUGAAGGGAAGAAACUGAAAAGACUUCCUGUCUGCCUUAAGGACCACGGCGCUGCUGGUUGGGCCAAGGGAUUACUAACAAGACACCCACCCAGGCUCCAGCACCGAAGUUCUAGCUCGAGAUUUCGAUGUGUGGGAGGGAGGUGUAAAAAAAUAAUUUGUUCUAUUAUCACCUCCAUUGGCUUCCUGCUUGGAGUUGCUGAAUUUCUCAAGUUAUGAUGGCUCUGCUCCUCAGAGGGCUGCGGAAGCAAGGUUGCCCUUUUUACCUGUUGACGCAAGCAAGCCCCCAGAGAUGACUAUGCUGAGGAAAAGGUUUGCGUAAGAAAAAGGUUAUGUUACUGAGACUGUCUCAAAUAGAAUCCACCAGCUGUCUCUCCUAAGGCUGGCUUUCUUAAGGAGGGAGUUUUACAAAGAUAGAAAAUCUUUCUUCUGCUUCAGUGCAGGUUACCCAAGAUAAGGAACAGUCUGUGAAAUGGUGAUUCUGAAAUGCCCAACAGGCCAUUUUCUAAAGGCAGCUCUGGACACCCAGGGAAAUGACAACAGCCAGGGGCUCUGAAGACAAGUGGGGCAGAUGUCUGAUAUGCCCCUUUCAAACCCUUUAAAAUGUGCCUGCCAUAAAACCCCUCGGUAGAAUGCCACUGUCUAUUACUUGAGUAGCUGAAGAGAUGCGCGUGAGAAGCAGGCCCACACUUCUAAGUUGAGACCACAGCUUUACUGUCUAAACUAGCUUGCAGAAGUGAUCCUGUAUGAAGAAGAUGUUCGUGUUGACAAUUUUGUUGAGAUGCCAUUAAUAGGAAUCUUGCACGCAUUCCAAGGUCAUUAUUAUAGGGUUCACCCACCCUCUAAUUAGAUCAUGACCUGCUAUUUCACUGAGAUAGGAUCUAUAUACUUUAGCUAGUUGGUCCUUUCUGUGUCAGGAGUUAAAUUGGGGGCCUUACAUUUUUUAAAUUAAAGGUGUCUCCCUUUGUUCUCAAAGCCCCUAAAUGCCCCUCCAUCGUCAUGCCCUUGAAGGGAAAUCCAGUAAUUGCCCUUGGCCGUCUGACUCAUGGAAGCAAAGGCGCAGGCAAGCGUGGGCUGGAGGAGCUCUCUGAGCAUACGACCUCCCCGAGCUGCUUACCCAGAUGCUGAGCAGUUCACCUCAGGGGACACUGAAACUGCUAUUUUCCUGCAGGUCAUCCAUUCUUAGGAGACAUAGCUGGUGUAGACUCUGUAUUUUUAUCAUCUGCGACAGGGCAGGUCAGACUAUAUCCCUGCUGUUAAAGGAUCAGCAAGUACAAGGGUGAUAAAGCCCCUACAACCCUGAGAUCUCCUUUAAGGCUGUUUCCAGGGAGGCAUCAGACAAGCAGAAAAGACAUUUGGAGUCUCCGCUGUGUGUAAUGACAGGUUUGGUGGCUUCUCAAGGCUGGGUUUAAAAAUGACAGAGGGGAAGAUCAUCUUGGCAGAAGUGUCAUUAUCCCUGGAGAGAAAACUUUCUGAUGGAUGCCAGCCUUUCAAGUGAGUAAGUGUGAGUUCUCCCAACUGAGACAUCAAGCUUAAGCGAAUCAGUCGUACCAAAGGUCAGUUAGGGGAAUCAUUUCACAUGCAUGCCACGCUCUCCUAACUAAGCAGAGAGAAUUAGACAAAAGCAACAUACGAUUCUCUGGUCGGUGUAAUCUCCGCUGCUGUAAGAGGUGGCCAGUGUGGAGGAGCACUUCUCAGCGUACCAGGGGGAUAGGCCUUGCUGGGAGGCACUGCUGAUGGAGAUGGUGUAGAUGCUGUCUGUGUAGCCAUCACAGUCACAAUUAUCUCCCUGACGCCCCCCGUUUCCCGAAGCCCAGACGAAGAUGGACCCCUUCCCCUGUCUCCCCUAAAGGAAAAGCCAGAAUGCAUAUUAUCUGUUAUCAUCUAUUGGGGUCAUUGUUAUAUCCCAAUAAAAUCCCCAACGACUACAUGUGUGAAAUUCUCAGAGACAGCUAUUUGGGAUCUAUUUUCAAUUCCAGAUCUUUUGGCUUCGAUAUUGGAAAUCUCACAAGGCUGUGUAUUAUAAGCCACUGGACUCUGGCCCUGCCAGUCUCUGGGCCCUCCUGGGGUAGGGCUGAGCACACGCUUUUCUUUCUUAUGCAGAUUCAUAAUCUAGCGUUUUGCACUUGCUCAUAUUUUUCCACCCUUCUCUUAGUUUAUGUCACUGCACUUAAAUCUUUGAACUUCCUCUCUUUCUUUCUGCUUCAAUCUUCUGGCUGACUGAUAGAAUGACAAAAUUAGGAAUUAUUCAGAUCUGCCUUGCAGCUGCAUUAAAAGGGACUCUUCAAUUGAAUGGAACUCGUCAAAGCCGCCCUUUCUAUGAUUUUUCAAUUUGUGCUCUCCAGAGUUUCUACUUUUGUUUCAUCUUAUGGAGCACAAGGCUUUAGAAUCUGUGCAAGAAUACAGUAAACCCAAGUGACAGAGCAAUCCAACCAAGGCACAGGUAUUCAACAGGCACGUGCAGAGCAGAAGGCAACACGUUUCUAUAUUUGAAAAGCAUUUCCGCGCUUGGAAGAAGACUGAGUAGUUUUUUACUAGUGUAAAAACCCAAAAGCAGCAGGAAAAUGAGUAAGGAGAAAGAAAUGUCCAGAAGCACUUUUAAAAUAAAUAUGCUAAAAGUAAUAAAUUUCCAUUCAACCUCAGACCCAAAUAGGGAAAAUUCAUUUUAUUUAUUUAUAUUUAGUUUUGAGGCAGGGUCUCACUCUGUCACCCAGGCUGGAGUGCAAUGCUGCAAUCUCAGCUCACUGCUACCUCCGCCUUCUGGGUUCAAGCAAUUCUUGUGCCUCAGCCUCCCGAGUAGCUGGGACUAUAGGCAUCUAAGUUGAGACCACAGUUUCACUGUCUAAACUAGGUUGCAGAACAGUGCAACCUAGUUACACCUGGCUAAUUUUUGUGUUUUUAGUAGAGGUGGGGUUUCUCCAUAUUGGCCACUCCUGGCCUCAAUUGAUCUGCCUCCCUUGGCCAUCGCGCCUGGCCACAAAUAGGGAAAACUUUCUUAAGCCUUAACUCCCAUCCCUCUGAAGAAUGAUUUGGCCCUCUAAGUGCAUUUAAAAUUGUAAAGGACUUUGUUAAGAAAUCCACAACAAUGUUAUUCCAUGUAACCUAAGUGUUCUUUCCUUCUCCUCAUAUCCAGAUGGUCAGGUUUCAUUUCAUGUGGGUCUGUGUAAAGCAUCUUACCUGUUUGACACCAUAUUCAAAAGCCUUCUGGGCUAGCCGGCCAGGCCCCUCCACAGUUUUCCCAUCAUCAUUAGGGCCCCAGCUUGCACUGUAAAUAUCCACGUGUCCAGGAUUGAAUCCAAUUGAACUGGCCUCAAUAGCAUCCGUCACAAUGCCAUCCAGCAUUCUUAUGCCUGAGAAACAAAAUAAACAAAGACACACAAAGGUUGAUGUCAGUAUGUACAUGGACAAAAGCCCAAUACUCUUACUAUUUGUAUUUUUAAAGGAUUUUAAGAGUCAAAAACCAGGUAACUACUAGAUAGAUGUCCCCAAUUUCUGUAACCCAGCUACUGACACCACAGAAGGAAGGAACAUGUUGCUGCCCCCAUAAGCUUUUUUGUCGCACUUUAGAGAUAAUACUAUGCAAUACCAUGCACUGUGUAGGCAGCUGUGAUGUUUUUUUUUUUUUUUUUUUUUUUGGUCCCACUCAAGGCUCUCUUCCCAGCAAAAGCUCUGGGCAUUGAGUCUGAAGUGGAGCAGCAUCCUUGGAUGAGAGGAAGUGGCCGUGAUUGUUGUCAAUUACAAAAUGUUUGCCCUCCCUCCCACCCCAACUAAAUGACAGACCAGCUUUCAGAAAGACCCUCCAAGCAGCCCUCUGGUGAUGCACCUCCUCAUGGCUGUCCCACAAAUGGCUGUGGCCCAGUCUACGCCACACAAGGACUCUGGACAGGAAACAUGUAGCUUCAAAAGAUCUAGUCACAACAGGAAACUAACAAAUAGGGAAAGCACUUUUGUUUCUAAGCCCUGAUUAAAAAUAACCCAGAGGCCAUCCUUUCAUGUGUUUGCUAAGAAACAUUUUCAAGGAACAUGCUUCCUAUUCUUCUAAAUAAUCUCAAGGAUGAAAUCAUUGCCAUGGAUUUCACCCCCAAGGGGAAUCAUUUUUCAUCAGGACAAUGUAGGUGCGGUAGCUCUUUGUGCUUUCCAACAGGCUGUCACCCGUCAUCAGACUUAUGAAUUCAAGAGCCAGGAAGGCAAAAACAAUCUGGACAGAUUACAGGCAGCUACCUGGUUAUUUCUGGCUUCAGGCUCAUAAUACAAUAAAGUGCACAGCCUUAGAUUUUCACACUUAUUUACUAUGGAGCAAAGGUAAAAUGAUAUGAAAUUGAUAUGAUCAGUGAAAGUUGUAUUUGUAAAAAAGAAAUUGUUCAAAAAUGCAUUUAGAGCCAGGCGCAGUGGCUCAUGCCUUUAAUACCAACACUUUGGGAGGCCGAGGUGGGUGGAUCACUUGAGGCCAGGAGUUCAAGACCAGCCUGGCCAACAUGGAGAAACCCCAUCUUUACUAAAAAUACAAAAAUUAGUCAGGCAUGCUGGCACGCACCUAUAAUCCCAGCUACUCAGGAGGCUGAGGCACAAGAAAUGCUUGAACCUGGGAGGCAGAGGUUGCAGUGAGCUAAGAUUGCAACCACUGCACUCCAGCCUGGGCAACAGAGCAAGACUCUGUCUCAAAAAAAAAAAAAAAAAAUGCAUUUAGAAAAAAAAUCGGCCAGGUGCGGUGGCUCACGCCUGUAAUCCCAGCACUUUGGGAGGCCGAGGCGGGCGGAUCACGAGGUCAAGAGAUCGAGACCAUCCUGGCUAACAUGAUGAAACCCUGUCU